rnacentral:SRP_RNA from 1 species
ACCAGCACGUGUGGCGCGUGCCUGUAGUCCCAGCUACUCGGGAGGCUGAGGUGGGAGGAUCGCUUGAGCCCAGGAGUUCUGGCUGUGUAGUGCGCUAUGCCCAUCGGGUAUCCGCACUAAGUUGAGCAACAAUAUGGUGACCUCCCGGGAGUAGGGGACCACCGGGUUGCCUAAGGAGGGGUGAACCAGCCCAGGUCGGAAACGGAGCAGGUCAAAACUUCCCAUGGCUGAAUCAGUAGUGGGAUUGUGCCUGUGAACAGCCACUGCACUCUAGUCUGGGCAACAUAGAGCGAACCCUGUCUCU